AUCAGGUAGGGAGAGAUCAGGUACUAUCAGGUAGGGAGAGAUCAGGUACUAUCAGGUAGGGAGAGAUCAGGUACUAUCAGGUAGGGAGAGAUCAGGUACUAUCAGGU